rnacentral:tRNA from 1 species
UUAGGCUUGUGAACAGUUGGUUAGAGCAUCUGACUGUUAAUCAGAGGGUCGCUGGUUCGAGCCCAGCAGGAGGA